AGUGAACGCUGGCGGUAGGCCUAACACAUGCAAGUCGAACGGCAGCACAGUAAGAGCUUGCUCUUACGGGUGGCGAGUGGCGGACGGGUGGGGAAUACAUCGGAAUCUACUUUUUCGUGGGGGAUAACGUAGGGAAACUUACGCUAAUACCGCAUACGACCUACGGGUGAAAGCAGGGGAUCUUCGGACCUUGCGCGAUUGAAUGAGCCGAUGUCGGAUUAGCUAGUUGGCGGGGUAAAGGCCCACCAAGGCGACGAUCCGUAGCUGGUCUGAGAGGAUGAUCAGCCACACUGGAACUGAGACACGGUCCAGACUCCUACGGGAGGCAGCAGUGGGGAAUAUUAGACAAUGGGCGCAAGCCUGAUCCAGCCAUACCGCGUGGGUGAAGAAGGCCUUCGGGUUGUAAAGCCCUUUUGUUGGGAAAGAAAAGCAGCAGGUUAAUACCCCGCUGUUCUGACGGUACCCAAAGAUUAAGCACCGGCUAACUUCGUG
rnacentral:rRNA from 1 species